GACGAACGCUGGCGGCGUGCUUAACACAUGCAAGUCGAACGGAAAGGUCCUGCUUUUGUGGGUUGCUCGUGUGGCGAACGGGUGAGUAACACGCGUGUAUCCUGUACCUGACUUAGGGAUAUAUUCAGGAAAAUGGGGCUCUUACCGGAUAGGAUCUCCUGCUGCAUGUUGGGGGUUGGAAAGUUUCGGCGGUUGGGGAUGUACUCGCGGCUUAUCCGCUUCAUGGUGUGGUAGUGGCUUACCAAGCCUUUGACGGGUAGCCGGCCUGAGAGGGUGGACGGCCACAUUGGGACUGAGAGACGGCCCAGUCUGCUACGGUACGCAGCAGGGGAGAGUAUGGCACAAUGGGCGGAAGCCUGAUGCAGCGACGCCGCGUGCGGGAUAACGGCCUUCGGGUUGUAAACCGCUUUCUCCUGAGACGAAGCGGGAGUGACGGUAAUUAGUAAAGAAGCACCGGCUAACUACGUG
rnacentral:rRNA from 1 species